AUCCAGCUGACGAGUCCUGAAUAGGACGAAAUGCGCGUUCUGGAU
rnacentral:hammerhead_ribozyme from 1 species